rnacentral:rRNA from 1 species
UACGUAGGGGGCGAGCGUUGUCCGGAUUUAUUGGGCGUAAGAGCGUGUAGGCGGCCAGGUAGGUCUGCUGUGAAACUCGAGGCUCAACCUCGAGACGUCGGCGGAAACCAUCUGGCUAGAGUCCGGAAGAGGAGAGUGGAAUUCCUGGUGUAGCGGUGAAAUGCGCAGAUAUCAGGAAGAACACCCGUGGCGAAGGCGGCGACCUGGGCCAAUAUUGACGCUGAGGUGCGAAAGCGUGGGGAGCAAACAGG